CACGAUCUACUUAAAAUAUAAUAUGAUGAUUGCGUACAUGUUGAUGCUGGAGAAGGUAUUGCUUUUCGACGAUGAGAAUAGAAUUAGCAUUUUGUUUGCAAGUAAGAAAGGUUUAAAAACCGUGCAGAUGCACGGGUUGGUGGACUAGUUCACUUAGUAUUAGCUAACAGUUUCUUGACUUCAAUAAGGAAAAAUGUUUGGACUCUAGCAAUGUAAUUACAU
rnacentral:lncRNA from 1 species